AAGGAGAAAGCAGGAGGAAAAAGGAGAUGGAGAGAGAGAAGAAAUGUCUUAAAAUGCAAUAGGGAAGAGGAGUUAAAAAACUAGAAAGAGAUAUAUUAAAUAUAGGAGUCUCUCUCAAUGCCAGUCAUCCCAUGAGUUCAUUCCACUGUACCAAGAGAGAAAAACAAGUCCCAAGGAAGAUUUGGGGAGGUCCUAUUAUGUACAGAUGUAUGCUGUUCAUUUUACAGAUGAGGAAACUGGAUCCAAAAGGAUUAAAUUAUUUUCCUAGGGUCACACAGCUGCCAAAUAGCUGAGAUGGAGAAGUGGAGGCAGCAGAAGUUAUGUGACUUGCUCAUGUUUCUACAGCUAAGAAGGAGCAGAGGUUAAAUUGGAACUCAGAUCUUGAUUUAGUUUAUUACCAAUAAUUUAAAUUGUAGGGGAAAGAGAUGAGAGAAAGGUCUAUUGUUAGAACAUUCAAUUGUAGCGUGAGGCCUGAACUAAUGUGGUCAUGGGGGUAAUGGAAAGGAGGGCAUCUGCUAACCAUAUCAAAUGCCACCUUUUCAGUGAGUUGACUUUUCUAACUUGUUAUUGGGAAAUUAUGAACAAGAUGUGCAUUCUUUUUAGGGGUGGGAUCCUGCUAAAGGUCAACUCUGUUAGGGAAUUCCCAGUUGAUCUGAUAUGAUGAAAUCUUUCUUUCCUUUUCACAUGAUUAACUUUCUACACUCUUUGGUAAGUGAAGCAAUAACCAUUUGCCUUGGCUUGAUAAUUUAGUCUAGUUCUCAAAUCAUUCUUUUUACUUCUUAGAGGAGAGCUGGAAAGGACCUUAGAGUUCACCUAUCCUCAAUUUCUAGAUGAGGUACUGAAGCUCACAGAGGUCAAGUGCCUUGUCCAUGAUCACAUGGGCAGUCUAGAGUUUAACUAGAUUUCAAAUUCAGAUCCUUUGACCCACUGUAUCCAGGGCUCUUUCCAGAAAACUAUGCUUUCCCUUUAUUUUCAUAAAAGUUCAAAAAAUAGGGUUAUUUCAACAAAUCUUAACCAGUCAUCAUUAAAUGAUAGUUCCAAGAAGCUAGGAUUAGAAUCAAAGAGAAGAAAAUGGAGGUCACAUAUGGUCCAGCUUGGUUAUAAGAAGUUCACAUAUUGCUUAGUAAAAGGAUAGAGGCUUUCAUUAGAACAACUGUUGGGGCUGUGAUGUUGUUGUCACUAAUGCUUCCAUGGAAAGCCAGCAUGUCAUUAUAAAGGAAUGUGGCAGCCAUGUGUGCCUAUAAGAAAUAGGACAUUCUCUCUAUAGAAGACAACAACAGGCUGAGCCAAAUAAACUUUGUUCAAGUUAAUACCUAACUUAGCUAGUUCCCGUGUUCCUUCAGUUUGGGCAAUGCUUGUUCUGUAUCAAAUGAAUGGUUUCUCUUUGUUCUCCCUUUAUCAGUUGGACAAUCCAUGAAUGCCAUUCUUAGCCUUUUAGUAAGUCUUCAGUCAACAAUGAAGGCUGGAGUUCAAAAGAACUGCCACAUUGUCAUGAAAUUCCAGUUUCUUUUCCCUAAUAUGGUACUGUAAUUUUUUUUUUAUCUCUCCAGUUCCCUGAUUGUCUUCAUUUGGAAAUGUGACUAAAUCCAGGAUAAGCAGCAAGUUCAUAGAAAGGGUGGAAAAUUCUCUUCAUUAUAUUUGCCUUAGAAAGAGGACUUUACUAACACAGGUCACCAAAGGAUAUUACUAUUUUUGGUCAUAUUAAGGGUACCAGUAAUUAUCCCACCUACUACUGGAAGGGUCAACAGGCUCCUGACUUAUUUCAAGGUUCUUCAAGACCAUCAUCUCCUGAUCUCCUAGUUGUGUCUAUGUAAAGAGGCUCAGUAAAAUAUGGCUCUUGGAUGAUUUUGAAGGAUUUCACUCACUAAACUGGCCAAAUGACUCCUUGCAUAGAGUUGUGUGGACAGCCAUAGCCAUCCUGAGAGGCCAGCUCUAGGUCAAAUUUUAAAAGAGUCUAAGUUUGUCUUCAAUAGUUGCUUUCUAUUUUUACCAUCAUCUCUUUCAUCCUCCAGGCAUCCAAUAUCUCACGCUGCCCACUGGCUGAAUAGAGGCCCCUAUUUCAGUUGCCCUUGCUGGGCAGUGUUCCAUACCAAGGACCUUUCAAUUACUUCUCUGUCUUGUGUGCCCUGCUUUUCCCCAUCAGAACUAACUUGCCCUGUGUCUGUCCCGUAGUCAAAGCCCUGCUUUCUGUUCUUUUUUGUUUGUUUGUUUGUUUCCAUCACAGACCCUUUCAGCUGUCCCUGGAAACCUAUUGACCCUUUCUCAGAACAAUAUUUACAAAUGAAUAAAGUAAAAUAUAUAGAAUUACAAAAGAAAUCAAGUAUAUUGAAAUAUAAUUAUCAAUAUACUCUUGUUUAAAAAAAAAUAGGUUCACAGAUCUCCCGCUCUAAUGCAAGGCGUUUCAAGGGAGAAAUUGUUUUCAAAGGGAGAUUUCUGAUGAAUCUCAAAUCACAAUAUCUGGGUUGUAGUCUACUUCAGUAAUUCAAAGCAAACAAUGUAGAUGAGAAGUCUGAAGAAACUGAAAAACUGAUGGGUCAGUAAAAGGUACAUUUACCAUUUCCUGUCACACAAAAUGUCAUCAUAGCCCAGCGUCCACAUGGGUACAGGAUAUAUGUGAGGGAACAUGUUAGCAGGGGAAAUGGUUUGUGCUGAAUAUCAGGAGACCUGUAUAUCUUGCUUUGAUACUUUAUUAGCUUAUUUACAUAGGCAAGUAACUUAAGCUUUCUGGACCUUGGUGUCUUCAUCUUCAAAAUGGGGAAAAUAUUUUUUGUAUGACUUGCUUCACAGAGUUCUUGCAAGGAAAAUUCUCUGUAAACAGCACUUCAGAAUGUUCCUUUAGUGAGGUUUGUUGUUAUUAUUCCUAAUUGUAUGAUUUAUUCUUAUUCUGACUGCCUCGUGCUUUUUGUGAGUCACAAAUCAUUUUUGAAUGGAUAUAUGAAAUAUAAUUGAUCAAGGAUGUACUAUGUGCUGGGUACUGGAAAUACAAAUAUAUAAAGUAACCUAGUCCUUGCUCUCAAGAAGUUUACAUUCUAAUAGAGGAAAAACAAACUUUAAAUCACAGGGGUGGUAAAGAAGGAAGAGGUGUUUUGAUCAGAGAAGCCUGAUAUUUUAGCACUGUUAAGUCAAAAUCUUCAUCAUGUCACUUCCAUAGUCUGGACCACCUCACAAUAUCUACAUAUAUUAAUUUGCUAUUAAAAAUUUGAAGGUGUACAUAUUUAAGACCUUUUGAUCUUAGAACAGUAGGGACAGUUAGUUUUGGCAGGAGAGAGCAUGAAAGUACCAUAUUUGGUAUUCAAAUUCAUACACAUUUUCCCACAGAGAAGGUGUUUACACAGAUAGGCUAAUUUUUGUUCAAGGUAUAAUUCAAGUACUGCCUCCUAAAAGUAAUAUGUAGUAUUUUGUGAGUAUUUUGUAUUUUUUCCCCAUGUACAAGUUAUUUUCUCCUAACCAAAAGUAAUAAGUAACUAGAUGGCAUUGUGAAUAAAAUGUUAGACUUGGAAACAAGAAGGUUGGAGUUCAAAUUCUGACUCAAACAUUUACUAGUUAUAUGCUCUGGAAAAUUCACUUGAUCUCUAUCAACCUCAGUUUCCUCAUUGGAAAAUGGGAUGAUAAUAGUACUUUUUGUAUAACAUUUUCAUGAGGAUAAGAUUAUAUAAUAUAUCUAAAGUGCUUUUCAAACUUUAAUAUGCUAUUGAAAUUUUAGCUGUUUUUAUUAGCAUGAUAGUAAUAAAUAUUUUUGCCCUAUAUCUCUAUGUUUAGCAUAAUGUCUAGCACCUAUGUUUAAUUAAGUACUUGUUAAAUGGAUAAAUUAAAAUUCUUGAGCAGUUAGCACAGUAUAGGAGAAAGAACACUGGGUUUAGAAAAAAAGGAUCUGAGUUCAAAUCUUGGCUUUGUAUGUUACUAUCCCUGUGACCUUAGGUAAAUAUCUAAUCUUUACUGGGCCUCAGUUUCCUAAUCUUUAAAAAAAAUAAAGAAUGUAAUUAAUGGACAGUGAAGUCCCUUUCAAUUCUAAUUCUAUAAUCCUGUGAAUUUAAGUUUGCUCAAGAAUAAU